CAUAUUUAGUCAUUCAUUUUUGAUCAGGAGAAAGAAGACAGCCAUCAUUUGAAAGGUAAAGCUUCAGCGACUGAAGGAGUGUGGACUUUUUGAAUUUCAAGAACAGUAAAGUUGGAACACAGCAGAGGGUGUGUAAUAAAAUACAGCGUGACGACAGCAUGUACGAUCCCUGAAUGGGCCCGUGGG
rnacentral:sRNA from 1 species